GCGCCUGUAGCUCACUUGGAUAGAGCGGACCCCUCCUAAGGGUCAGGCAGCAAGUUCGACUCUUGCCAGGCGCACCA
rnacentral:tRNA from 1 species